UCCGUGUUCACCACGGCAGUCUCCUGAGAGUGCCCAACUGAAUGGUAGCAACUCAGGACAAGGGUUGCGCUCGUUGCGGGACUUAACCCAACAUGUCACCACACGAGCUGACGACAGCCAUGCAGCACCUGUCUCUCUGCUGUAUUGCUACAGAAACCGUAUCUCUACGGCUGUCAGAGGAUGUCAAACCCAGGUAAGGUUCUUCGCGUUGCUUCGAAUUAAACCACAUGAUCCACCGCUUGUGCGGGCCCCCGUCAAUUCCUUUGAGUUUUAGUCUUGCGACCGUACUUCCCAGGCGGGGAACUUAGUGCGUUAGCGCCGGUUCAGCAGGGGUCAAGACCCACCAAACCUAGUUCCCAUCGUUUACGGCGUGGACUAC
rnacentral:misc_RNA from 1 species